UACGUAGGGGGCUAGCGUUGUCCGGAAUCAUUGGGCGUAAAGAGCGCGUAGGCGGCCGUGCAAGUCUGGCGUGAAAGCCCCGGGCUCAGCCCGGGAAGUGCGCUCGAAACUGCGCGGCUCGAGUGCCGGAGGGGAGAGUGGAAUUCCUGGUGUAGCGGUGAAAUGCGUAGAUAUCAGGAGGAACACCGAUGGCGAAGCAGGUCUCUGGGCAUUAACUGACGCUGAGGAGCGAAAGCAUGGGGAGCGAACAGG
rnacentral:rRNA from 1 species